rnacentral:rRNA from 1 species
CGCGUAGGCGGUUAUGUAAGAUAGGGGUGAAAUUCCAAGGCUUAACCUUGGGACUGCCUUUAUAACUAUAUAGCUAGAGUAUGGUAGAGGUAAGCGGAAUACCCAGUGUAGAGGUGAAAUUCGUAGAUAUUGGGUAGAACACCGGAUGCGAAGGCGGCUUACUGGGCCAUUACUGACGCUGAGGCGCGAAAGCGUGGGUAGCAAACAG